rnacentral:lncRNA from 1 species
AUUCUGGUAAACAAAUAAAGCUUAUGGCAUUGAAAAUGAGACAAACGAAUCUCCCUUCCAAGCAAAUUCAGAAGUGUUUUCUCCACCUAUUUCCAAGGCUGAUGCACCAGUUGUCUCUCACAAACAAUCACGCACCCCCAUUUAAAAUCUUCCAGAGGAUUGCUUCUCUUAUUCUAGUUGUUCUCUACCCAUAAUUUCAAUGUCUCGUUCAAAUUAAGAUAAAUUC